rnacentral:rRNA from 1 species
GACGUAGGGGGCCAGCGUUGUUCGGAAUUACUGGGUGUAAAGGGUUCGUAGGCGGUGUGGCAAGUCGGGAGUGAAAUCUCUGGGCUCAACCCAGAGUCUGCUUCCGAAACUGCUGUGCUUGAGUGUGGGAGAGGCGCGUGGAAUUGCAGGUGUAGCGGUGAAAUGCGUAGAUAUCAGGAGGAACACCAAUUGCGAAGGCAGCUCGCUGGAACGUUACUGACGCUGAGACGCGAAAGCGUGGGGAGCAAACAGG